UUGUAAAGGCUCACCUUUCAGCACAUUCACUUCACCAGAUGCACCUCGUUUCUUUUCCUCACCUUUGAUUGGGGGUGGUGCUUGGCCUUAAUUGCACUCACCUGUCACUCGUUAUAUAAGGACUGCACUCACCUACCCCUCACUCUUUCUUCACUCCCACAUGGGGCGGCAGCUGAGGUGAGUUUCUCUUUGAGUCUCCUGAGUUCGCGUAUUAUGUUGAGUUACUUAAAUCAUACUCUAUUUCCUUUCAGAGAUAGCAGUCCAUGUGUGUCUUUCCUUUACAUUUCAUUUCCAUUAUCCAAUAAAACGACAAAACCUGCAAAUGACUGAUGACUGCUUAGUCUCAUUCUAAUCGGAUGAGCCCAUGAUGAUGACUACUUAAACCCUGAACCUUCCUACCUCCAAAACAUGGUCCUCCGAGCCGGAGUAGUGUUAUCAUCAUGGAUUCACAGCAGCCAUUGACUGAAGAUUUGAGACGUUCUGGUCGUGAAAGGCGACCUCCUAUCUACCUGCAGCAAUAUGACGUUCAGUACCCUGGGAGUAGAAGUGCUAGAUGUGAGACAGGGAGUCAAACAGAAUGCCAGCAUAGUGACACAGACACACAUGGGCUGCAGGAUCCUGACAGUCAACCAGAGACAUCCCCUGCUCCUUCACCCACCAACCAAGAUGAGGUGAUGAGGGAACUCCUGGUGACGAUGAGGGAGAUUAGGCAAUUUAUGAUUCAGUUAUCUCCUCCCCAUUCUCGCAGUUCCUCCAGAUCUUCAAUUCACACUGUCUCAUCUGAUGAAAGCAAAUCCUCUGUAUGCGGUUUACAAGUCAUUCCCCAAACACAUCAGCAACAUGAGCAGUUCCCAGUGAUUGAUCCAGCAACAUGUCAAUCACCCUCUCAGCCCCCACAGGUUUUCCACCACUCUGGUGCAGUUCCGGCUGCCAGCCCUCCUUUCCCUAAUUCAACAAUAUUAGAUGCUGCAGUUCCUUCAAGUGGUUUGCCUAGACCAGUUUUUCCUACACCAGAUGAGACUCCUUUUAAUUUCCUGGCCACGCCACUGCAAGGUCCGCACCAGAUUUCAUGUGUUCAACCUGCUGUUCCUCUAGAUGAAGACCCCGCUCAACCUCUCGUUUGCAUUCCAGAACCAAGGCAGCACCCUCCUGUAAAGCAGCAACCAGCUACAUCCAAUGGCUUACAUGAACAGAAACCUUCGGUACCCAUUACUGCUAGUUCUAGUCACCCUGUUAGCACUAGAACACAUGUGUAUAAGCUUGAGGGUCCUUCUUUCCCAGACCUUACCAGUGAAGAUGAAAUCCAGUAUAGGCUGUUACGAAUGGCCCUUACUAACCUGCUUGACCCUCAUGAGACAGAGCACUUUAAAUAUCAUGUCCUUCUCGAUCAUCUGAAAGUAGACCAAGCUAAACGGUUAGCUAUUUCCUUUUCCUAUGCUCCUGACCCAUACACUCAAGCCAUCAAAGCUCUUGAUGAGCGUUAUGGGCAACCAAGACAGCUAGCAUUGAAAGAGCUACGGAAUAUACUGGAGCUUCCUCCUAUCAGAGCAGGUGAUGGUUGGACUCUGGAUAACUUUGCUCUUCGUGUGCAAGCUUUAGUUGGUUUGCUUAGCACUAUGGGUGAUCAAGGACUGACAGAACUAAAUUGUGGCUCCCAUGUCGAUCGCCUACUUGAAAAGUUGCCUGCAGAGCAUUCCAGUCGCUUCAAACAGCACAUUUACAGGGAACAAGGAGAUAUGAUGUAUGACUUACCUUUGUUCUCGUCCUGGUUGCAAAUGGAAUGCAAGUGUCAACCAAGAAAGGACAGUCCUGCUUCAUCCUUUAACCAGCCACGACCUGCCCAUAAGUACACCCCUCCACUCACAACAAUAUUACAUGGGACAAAUCCAUCCAAUCCUGUACAGGCAACACAACCCAUCAUAACGACUAAGGCAAGAUGUGCAUAUUGCUGCUCACCUGAACACCACAUUAGCAAGUGCCCUGAGUUCAUUAACAAGACAAAGGAUGAGAAAAUAAACUGGAUAAAGAGAAACAAACUGUGUUGGCAUUGUGCUAGAACUCAUCAGGCUGCAAAGUGUGAUCUGAGAAAAGACUGUGCUACCUGCAUGAGACGACAUCUACAGAUCCUAUGUGAGGUGAAUCAGAGACCUAGAACUGAAGUUAAUCCUGUAGUGAGGACACUGUACUUUGAUAAACCUAGUGACUGUCCCAGUGUACUAUUAAAACUUGUGAAAGUGCUCCUGCGAAAUGGCAAAAGAACUCUUGAAACAUAUGCCGUACUUGACGAUGGCUCCCAACGCACCAUGCUUCUGACAUCAACAGCUCAGCAUCUCAACCUAACUGGGGAGGCAGAGAGAUUAUCACUUAGAACUGUCCGUCAAGAAGUUGAAAAUAUUCAAGGUUCUUCCGUAAGUUUCAAAAUCUCACCCAUUGCACACCCAGAGAAAACCUACACAAUUGAUAAUGCCUUCGCUACAAGUCACUUAGCACUUUCAGACCACACCUACCCCGUAUCAUCUCUCCAACAAAGAUACAAGCAUCUUCAAGGUAUCCCAUUACCCUUCAUUAACAAAGCAGCUCCACUACUGCUCAUAGGCUCUGAUCAUACCCACCUUAUUACGCCUAUUGCACCAGUUAGACAUGGACCAUUUGGAUCUCCUUCAGCAGUCAAAACCCGCUUAGGAUGGACACUUCAAGGUCCGAUCACAGACUUCCAACCCCAGAGCAGUUCCACGAAUGCCCAAUGUUUGUUCACAUCUUCCAGUUCAGGUUCAGGUGAACCGCUCCAGCACAUCCUCGUGUCCACUGAUGGCUCUGAAUUCAUUCAGCCACCUCCUACUCUACCAUCAGCAGUAUCUACGUCCUCACCUGCAGUGCCACUAUCACCAGUUCCACCGCCUGUGGCUAACUUUCCGCCAGUGGUCAGGGCGCCACCUGCUCCUAGAUCACCUGGUCCUGCCCCUGCCAAGUCCCGUAAAUUACCCCCAGCACCUGCAAAACUGCCUGACGGUCUGCAGGUCUGGGCCUGCAGCUGCAUCCCACGCGGUUGGCAUUUGGACCUGCUUUGCCGCCACCGCUGGCUACAUGAUCAUCCCCCUGAACUGUCUGGCCUACGUUGUCGACCUCCAGGUUGACCUCCUGAACCUAUAUCAGACCUGUAGCAUGCCCCCGCUUCGUGAAAAAGAGCAACUCUAAUCCUUUGAACAUAUUUCUCAGUAGAAAUAUGGGGGCGGCUGUUGUAAAGGCUCACCUUUCAGCACAUUCACUUCACCAGAUGCACCUCGUUUCUUUUCCUCACCUUUGAUUGGGGGUGGUGCUUGGCCUUAAUUGCACUCACCUGUCACUCGUUAUAUAAGGACUGCACUCACCUACCCCUCACUCUUUCUUCACUCCCACAUGGGGCGGCAGCUGAGAGAUAGCAGUCCAUGUGUGUCUUUCCUUUACAUUUCAUUUCCAUUAUCCAAUAAAACGACAAAACCUGCAAAUGACUGAUGACUGCUUAGUCUCAUUCUAAUCGGAUGAGCCCAUGAUGAUGACUACUUAAACCCUGAACCUUCCUACCUCCAAAACAUGAGUAUUUGCUACUUUAACAGCAUUCACUGUAAACAUAUUUUCAGUUUUUACAAAGGAAGCACAAUAUUGGAUUGCUUGGAUUCAUUUCACAGAGUUGACUGGUUUUGUAAGAGAGCAGAUUUGUAUUAGAAACUGAAACUGGUUUAUGAUAUUUACCUAUGCUGUUACAGACAACAUAUAACUCUUCAAACAGGUGUCAGAGCAGUUUGUGGGUCAAAUCUUGAUUCCAGUAGAGGGCAGUGUAGACUGUCAAAUGAGCAAUAUCUUUGGCUAUUUUUCUGUGUUCAUGUGAGAUUUUAUUAUCAGUUGUCCUUAUCAACAAGGUCUGGUUAUAUUUUGUGUCGACUGACAUCAUUAUCAAGUUUGUAGUGUUGUGCAGCACAUUUGCAUUAUUUUGAAUUGUUUUUAAGGACAUUUUCCACCAAUUUUGUAAUUAAACAAAUAACUUUCUGACAACAGAUUCUUGCUCAGCUUGUCAUUGUUUGAUGUAUUAGCAUCAACAUGCACAAAUUAUCAUUUGAAUAAAAAUGAACUUUGGUUUAAUAGUAAUAAAAAAUUUAAUAGUGUGCACAAAUCAAACUGUUUUUUUCACCAUCCUGCACUUAUGUAGUAAAGUAAUUUCAGCAAGAUGAGCAUCCUAAAAUUAAUCAUUACUAAUCGCAUGCUUUAAGUCAUUUCAUUGAAUUUGUAAAACUCAACUGAAGUUUAGGAUGAGCGAUGACCUGUUGGUUUACAUGUUUAAUCUUUAUCAUUCAAAUCAAAUGUUGCAACAGCUUUUUGUCAAUGAGCAUGGUUAAUGAGGUAAAAGUGUGCUAAGGUCCACAAGACUA